UGGCAAGAUGAACAAGAAGAACAAGAGAGUCACACAUCUGUCCUAAAGGUGUAACUGAAAACCAGAAUCACAUGAUGGAAUCCAGCACAGCAGCUAGCAGCAUGAUCCCCAGAAUGAAGCCGACCCUAAAGUGUAGAAGUAAGGUAGAAGGAGGGAACCACUGCUGAAUCACCCACACUGGAUGGCUUACUCCUGUGCUGUGCACACUCUCCUUCAGACAUCUUCCACUCGACUGUGGCUCCAGCCUACCUCUGCAUAUCUCCAGCCAUUUCACACUGGAUCAUCGCUUCUAGGAAUGUGGCGAAGUCAGGUCAAUGCUGAAGCUGUGCCGCUUGCUUUGGAGAAGCGUGCACUGCUGGUUUGCUGGAGAUCUGUA
rnacentral:lncRNA from 1 species